rnacentral:rRNA from 1 species
GGAUACCUACGGGGCGCAGCAGUAGGGAAUUUUCGUCAAUGGGCGCAAGCCUGAACGAGCAAUGCCGCGUGAACGAGGAAGGUCUUCGGAUCGUAAAGUUCUGUUGAAGAGGAAAAAGAGCGGAGAGAGGAAAUGAACUCCGAUUGAUAUUACCCUUCGAGGAAGUCACGGCUAACUACGUGCCAGCAGCCGCGGUAAUACGUAGGUGGCGAGCGUUAUCCGGAAUGAUUGGGCGUAAAGGGUGCGUAGGCGGCCUGCUAAGUCUUGAGUGAAAGG